GACGAACGCUGGCGGCGUGCUUAACACAUGCAAGUCGAACGGAAAGGCCCUGCUUUUGUGGGGUGCUCGAGUGGCGAACGGGUGAGUAACACGUGAGUAACCUGCCCUUGACUUUGGGAUAACUUCAGGAAACUGGGGCUAAUACCGGAUAGGGGCUCCUGCUGCAUGGUGGGGGUUGGAAAGUUUCGGCGGUUGGGGAUGGACUCGCGGCUUAUCAGCUUGUUGGUGGGGUAGUGGCUUACCAAGGCUUUGACGGGUAGCCGGCCUGAGAGGGUGACCGGCCACAUUGGGACUGAGAUACGGCCCAGACUCCUACGGGAGGCAGCAGUGGGGAAUAUUGCACAAUGGGCGGAAGCCUGAUGCAGCAACGCCGCGUGCGGGAUGACGGCCUUCGGGUUGUAAACCGCUUUCGCCUGGGACGAAGCGUGAGUGACGGUAAUGGGUAAAGAAGCACCGGCUAACUACGUG
rnacentral:rRNA from 1 species